GCCGGAUCUCUGCGGAAGGGCUAAAAGCACGCCGCCCGAGGAGACGAAAAGAGAGUUGCAACUGUUUAGAAAUUGCUGAGAAAGGGAAGAGAAGACAGAAGGAUCACUAGCACAUGCUGGUGCAGUUUUUUGGCACUGAUUUUGAGAACGUGUAAUUACUG